rnacentral:rRNA from 1 species
GACGUAGGGCGCGAGCGUUGUCCGGAUUUAUUGGGCGUAAAGAGCUCGUAGGCGGCUUGUCGCGUCGUCCGUGAAAACCCAUGGCUCAACUGUGGCUUGCGGUCGAUACGGGCAGGCUGGAGUUCGGUAGGGGAGACGUGGAAUUCCUGGUGUAGCGGUGAAAUGCGCAGAUAUCAGGAGGAACACCAAUGGCGAAGGCAGCUCGCUGGGACGUUACUGACGCUGAGACGCGAAAGCGUGGGGAGCAAACAGG